rnacentral:rRNA from 1 species
UUGGGUAGGGGAGCGUUCUGUAAGCCUGUGAAGGUGUGUCGUGAGGCAUGCUGGAGGUAUCAGAAGUGCGAAUGCUGACAUAAGUAACGAUAAAGCGGGUGAAAAGCCCGCUCGCCGGAAGACCAAGGGUUCCUGUCCAACGUUAAUCGGGGCAGGGUGAGUCGACCCCUAAGGCGAGGCCGAAAGGCGUAGUCGAUGGGAAACGGGUUAAUAUUCCCGUACUUGGUGUUACUGCGAAGGGGGGACGGAGAAGGCUAUGUUGGCCGGGCGACGGUUGUCCCGGUUUAAGCGUGUAGGUGUGUGUUCCAGGUAAAUCCGGUUCACUUUAACACUGAGGCGUGACGACGAGGCACUACGGUGCUGAAGCAACAAAUGCCCUGCUUCCAGGAAAAGCCUCUAAGCAUCAGGUAACAUCAAAUCGUACCCCAAACCGACACAGGUGGUCAGGUAGAGAAUACCAAGGCGCUUGAGAGAACUCGGGUGAAGGAACUAGGCAAAAUGGUGCCGUAACU